UCGGGGUGUAGCUCAGCUUGGCUAGAGCGCUUGCUUUGGGAGCAAGAAGUCGCUGGUUCGAAUCCAGUCACCCCGACCC
rnacentral:tRNA from 1 species